rnacentral:tRNA from 1 species
GCCCUGCUGGCGCAAUGGUUAGCGUGCUUGACUUCGAAUCAAGAGGUUGUGGGUUCGAACCCCACGCGGGGUU